AAGAAAGUGGCAGAGUGGUAAUGCAGUUGGCUUGAAACCAUCUUACGGGGGUUCAAUUCCCUCCUUUCUCG
rnacentral:tRNA from 1 species